GAUGAACGCUAGCUACAGGCUUAACACAUGCAAGUCGAGGGGUCUCGAGGGAGCUUGCUCUUGAGAGACGACCGGCGCACGGGUGAGUAACGCGUAUCCAACCUGCCCUUCAUAUUGGGAUAGCCUUCCGAAAGGGAGAUUAAUACCGAAUAACAUGAGAAGAUUGUAUGAACCUCUCAUGAAAGCUCCGGCGAUGAAGGAUGGGGAUGCGUUCCAUUAGGUAGUAGGCGGGGUAACGGCCCACCUAGCCAUCGAUGGAUAGGGGUUCUGAGAGGAAGGUCCCCCACACUGGAACUGAGACACGGUCCAGACUCCUACGGGAGGCAGCAGUGAGGAAUAUUGGUCAAUGGGCGUAAGCCUGAACCAGCCAAGUAGCGUGAAGGAUGACUGCCCUACGGGUUGUAAACUGUUGUCGCAAGGGAAGAAAAAAUGACGGUACCUUGUGAGAAAGCCACGGCUAACUACGUG
rnacentral:rRNA from 1 species